GACGGGGGGGGCAAGUGUUCUUCGGAAUGACUGGGCGUAAAGGGCACGUAGGCGGUGAAUCGGGUUGAAAGUGAAAGUCGCCAAAAACUGGCGGAAUGCUCUCGAAACCAAUUCACUUGGGUGAGACAGAGGAGAGUGGAAUUUCGUGUGUAGGGGUGAAAUCCGCAAAUCUACGAAGGAAGGCCAAAAGCGAAGGCAGCUCUCUGGUUCCCUACCGACGCUGAGGUGCGAAAGCAUGGGGAGCGAACAGG
rnacentral:rRNA from 1 species